rnacentral:rRNA from 1 species
AUUGAACGCUGGCGGCAGGCCUAACACAUGCAAGUCGAACGGUAACAGGAAGCAGCUUGCUGCUUCGCUGACGAGUGGCGGACGGGUGGGUAAUGUCUGGGAAACUGCCUGAUGGAGGGGGAUAACUACUGGAAACGGUAGCUAAUACCGCAUAAUGUCGCAAGACCAAAGAGGGGGACCUUCGGGCCUCUUGCCAUCGGAUGUGCCCAGAUGGGAUUAGCUAGUAGGUGGGGUAACGGCUCACCUAGGCGACGAUCCCUAGCUGGUCUGAGAGGAUGACCAGCCACACUGGAACUGAGACACGGUCCAGACUCCUACGGGAGGCAGCAGUGGGGAAUAUUGCACAAUGGGCGCAAGCCUGAUGCAGCCAUGCCGCGUGUAUGAAGAAGGCCUUCGGGUUGUAAAGUACUUUCAGCGGGGAGGAAGGCGAUAAGGUCAAUAACCUUGUCGAUUGACGUUACCCGCAGAAGAAGCACCGGCUAACUCCGUGCCAGCCGCCGCCGUAA